CUGGUCUAUCCUGCCAAUAGCCGUAUGCUUGUCUCAAAGAUUAAGCCAUGCAUGACUAUGUAUACACGAAUUAAAAGUGACACCGCAAAAGGCUCAUUAUAUUCGUUACGGUCCCGUAGAUCGGUAAUAGGUGGUUGGACAACAGUGGUAACUCUAGAGCUAAUACAUGCAAUAUAAAUACGAACUAAUUGAACGUGUGCUUCUCUUAGGCUAAAACCAAGCGACGACCAUUUUGUCGUAUACCGAUUGAACUCUGGAUCGCUUCCAGAUCGUACGGUCUUGUGCCGACGACAGGUCUUUCAUAUGUCUACCCUACCACCUUUUGAAAGUAGUAUUUGGGGCUACCAUGGUUAGAUUCCGCAGAGAAACGGCUACGACAUCUAAGGAUGGCAGUAGACACAUAACUUACCCACUCCCAGCACGGUGAGGUAGUGACGAAAAAUAACAAUGCACGACUCAUAUACGAGGCCCUGUACUUGCAAUGAAUAUGCUUUAAAUUCUUUAACAAGGACCUAUUGUAGGCCAAGUCUGGCGCCAGCCUAAAAUUUAAUGGAAUUGGCG
rnacentral:ncRNA from 1 species